rnacentral:rRNA from 1 species
AGUAAAAGCAAAAAGAGCUCAGGGUGGAUGCCUAGGUGCCAGAGACUGAUGAAAGACGUGGCCAGCUGCGAUAAGCUUCGGGGAGCUGCAAGCAAGCUUAGAUCCGGAGAUUUCUGAAUGGGAGAACCUGAUACUUGUUGAGAGUAUCAUCCUUAAGGUGAAUUCAUAGCCUAGAGGAAUGGAACUCAGGGAAUUGAACCAUCUCAGUACCUGAAGGAAAAGAAAGUAACAACGAUUCCCAUAGUAACGGCGAGCGAAUUGGGAAGAGCCUAAACCAGGCCAGGUGUUAAAGCCCGGCGGCGUUGCCGGUCUGGUGUCGCGGGAUUGCACGUUGAAGCAUGCCGGUGCUUCGGAGGGCGAUUCGGGCUGUUCUAACCGAAGUCGGCUGGAAAGCCGCACUGAAGAAUGUGAAAGUCAUGUAGGUGAAAGAGCAGAGACGUCCUGGUGCGACACCCGAGUACUACGGAAUCUGAGGGAGUCCGUGGGAAUCUGCGAGAACCUUCUCGCAGGGCUAAAUAUUUUCUGGCGACCGAUAGUGCAGCAGUAACGGGAGGGAAAGGUGAAAAGCAUGCCGGUGAGGCAGAUGAAAGAGAACCUGAAACCCUGCGUUUACAAGACAGUCACAAGACUAUGACGUUCUUCGGAGCGUAAUGUCUGGUGGCGUGCCUAUAGAAGAAUGAUCCGACGAGUUAUUGCAUGUUGCGAGGUUAAGCCGGUAAUGGCGGAGCCGAAGCGAAAGCGAGUCUGAACAGGGCGGCAGUAGCAUGUAGUAGACCCGAAACCAGGUGAGCUACCCUUGGCCAGGAUGAAGCUUUGGUAACACAAAGUGGAGGUCCGAAUGCCUCAACGUUGAAAAGUUGAGUAAUGAGCUGUGGGUAGGGGUGAAAAGCCAAUCGAACCUGGAUAUAGCUGGUUCUCCCCGAAAUAGUUUUAGGACUAGCCUCGGAGGAAAAUCUGCUGGGGGUAAAGCACUGAAUAGGCUAGGGGGCACACCAGCUUACCAACCCUAAUCAAACUCUGAAUACCAGCAGACGUUAUCCGGGAGUCAGGCGCAGUGAGAUAAGUUUCUGCGUCGCGAGGGAAACAGCCCAGACCGUCAGUUAAGGUCCCAAAGUAUAUGCCGAGUGGGAAAGGAUGUGGAGGUCCCCAGACAGCCAGGAGGUUGGCUUAGAAGCAGACAUUCCUUCAAAGAGUGCGUAAUAGCUCACUGGUCGAGGGCUUCUGCGCCGAAAAUGUAACGGGGCUAAGCAUAUCGCCGAAACUGCGGGUUCGUGAUGACUUAGGUUGUCAUGGGCGGUAGGGGAGCGUUCUGUAGUAGUAAGAAGCGGUACCGUGAGGAGCCGUGGACGAAACAGAAGUGAGAAUGUCGGAACGAGUAGCGAUAAGACAGGCGAGAAACCUGUCCGCCGAAAACCUGAGGUUUCCUGGGCAAGGCUAAUCCUCCCAGGGUCAGUCGGUCCUAAGCCGAGGCCGAGAGGCGUAGGUGAAGGGAAGCGAGUUAAUAUUCCGCACCUGGAUUAAUGUUUUAUCGAAGGAGUGACGCAGAAGGCUAUGUCCUCGGGGACCGAGUCUCCGUCUGGGCCUGAUACUGGCUGGCAGGUAAAUCCGCCGGCGUAAAGUUCAGGGGUCCGGCAACCCGAAACAAGUAGGGGGAAGGAGCAGAUGCCAUGCUGCCGAGAAAAGCUUCUAAGAGAGUGAAGUCCAGACCGUACCGCAAACCGACACAGGUGGGUGAGGAGAAAAUCCUAAGGCGCUCGAGAGAAUCCACG